UACGUAGGGGGCAAGCGUUGUCCGGAUUUAUUGGGCGUAAAGAGCGUGUAGGCGGCUUUGCAAGUCCGUUGUGAAAACUCGAGGCUCAACCUCGAGACGCCGGUGGAAACUGCAAAGCUAGAGUCCGGAAGAGGAGAGUGGAAUUCCUGGUGUAGCGGUGAAAUGCGCAGAUAUCAGGAAGAACACCCGUGGCGAAGGCGGCUCUCUGGGACGGUACUGACGCUGAGACGCGAAAGCGUGGGUAGCAAACAGG
rnacentral:rRNA from 1 species